AAGAGCUCAAAUUUGAAAGCUGGCCCCUUCGGGGUCCGCGUUGUAAUUUGCAGAGGAUGCUUCGGGUGCAGCCCCCGUCUAAGUGCCCUGGAACGGGCCGUCAUAGAGGGUGAGAAUCCCGUCUGGGACGGGGUGUCUGCGUCCGUGUGAAGCUCCUUCGACGAGUCGAGUUGUUUGGGAAUGCAGCUCUAAAUGGGUGGUAAAUUUCAUCUAAAGCUAAAUACUGGCCGGAGACCGAUAGCGCACAAGUAGAGUGAUCGAAAGAUGAAAAGCACUUUGAAAAGAGAGUUAAACAGCACGUGAAAUUGUUGAAAGGGAAGCGUUUGCGACCAGACUCGCCCGCGGGGUUCAGCCGGCAUUCGUGCCGGUGUACUUCCCCGUGGGCGGGCCAGCGUCGGUUUGGGCGGCCGGUCAAAGGCCCUCGGAAUGUAUCACCUCUCGGGGUGUCUUAUAGCCGAGGGUGCAAUGCGGCCUGCCUGGACCGAGGAACGCGCUUCGGCUCGGACGCUGGCGUAAUGGUCGUAAAUGACCCGUCUU
rnacentral:rRNA from 1 species